UUUCCGUAGGUGAACCUGCGGAAGGAUCAUUAUAAAUGAAAAACGAAUAACUUCAGGGAAGAAGGGAACCUGCACGGUGACCUCCCCUGUCGGGCCACCCAAUACCUUCAAAAUACCGCCGUCCUAGCGGUGGCAGACGAAAAAAAAACAAGAAAAACAAAAUAGAAACAGGCACGGUGGCCCGUUCACCUUCACACAACCCUCCGAGUACCGCUUCCAUGUUGCUUCCCCGCAAAUCCACCUCUUUGGUGAGCGCGGGGGAGGUCCGCAUCAAAUUCACCUGAAUGUCACAGCAGUCAGACAGCCAUUCAUGGAAACGAUAAAACUUUCAACAACGGAUCUCUUGGUUCCC
rnacentral:misc_RNA from 1 species